CCAAUAGCGUAUAUUAAAGUUGCUGCAGUUAAAAAGCUCGUAGUUGAAUUUCGGGACCAUCAUGUCGGUCGUGCCUCGGUACGUACUGGCAUUGUUGGUUUCUCCCUUCUGACGAACCAUGAUGUCAUUUAUUUGGUGUCGUGGGAAAUCAGGACUGUUACUUUGAAAAAAUUAGAGUGUUUAAAGCAGGCUCACGCUUGAAUACAUUAGCAUGGAAUAAUGAAAUAGGACGUUUGAUUCUAUUUUGUUGGUUUCUAGGAUCGACGUAAUGAUUAAUAGGGCUAGUUUGGGGCAUUAGUAUUCAAUUGUCAGAGGUGAAAUUCUUGGAUUUAUUGAAGACUAACUACUGCGAAAGCAUUUGCCAAGGAUGUUUUCAUUAAUCAAGAACGAAAGUUAGGGGAUCGAAGACGAUCAGAUACCGUCGUAGUCUUAACCAUAAACUAUGCCGACUAGGGAUCGGAUGAUGUUAAUUUUUUAAUGACUCAUUCGGCGCCUUACG
rnacentral:rRNA from 1 species